UGCAGUCGAGCGGAUGAGGGAGCUUGCUCCUGGAUUCAGCGGCGGACGGGUGAGUAAUGCCUAGGAAUCUGCCUGGUAGUGGGGGAUAACGUCCGGAAACGGGCGCUAAUACCGCAUACGUCCUGAGGGAGAAAGUGGGGGAUCUUCGGACCUCACGCUAUCAGAUGAGCCUAGGUCGGAUUAGCUAGUUGGUGGGGUAAAGGCCUACCAAGGCGACGAUCCGUAACUGGUCUGAGAGGAUGAUCAGUCACACUGGAACUGAGACACGGUCCAGACUCCUACGGGAGGCAGCAGUGGGGAAUAUUGGACAAUGGGCGAAAGCCUGAUCCAGCCAUGCCGCGUGUGUGAAGAAGGUCUUCGGAUUGUAAAGCACUUUAAGUUGGGAGGAAGGGCAGUAAGUUAAUACCUUGCUGUUUUGACGUUACCAACAGAAUAAGCACCGGCUAACUUCGUGCCAGCAGCCGCGGUAAUACGAAGGGUGCAAGCGUUAAUCGGAAUUACUGGGCGUAAAGCGCGCGUAGGUGGUUCAGCAAGUUGGAUGUGAAAUCCCCGGGCUCAACCUGGGAACUGCAUCCAAAACUACUGAGCUAGAGUACGGUAGAGGGUGGUGGAAUUUCCUGUGUAGCGGUGAAAUGCGUAGAUAUAGGAAGGAACACCAGUGGCGAAGCGACACCUGGACUGAUACUGACACUGAGGUGCGAAGCGUGGGGGAGCAAACAGGAUUAGAUACCCUGGUAGUCCACGCCGUAAACGAUGUCGACUAGCCCGUUGGGAUCCUUGAGAUCUUAUGCGCACUAACGCGAUAAGUCGACCGCCGGGGGUACGGCCCAGGUUAAAACUCAAUGAAUUUGAGGCCCGCACAAAGCGUGGACAUGUGUUUAAUUCACAACCGAAACCUUACUGGCUUGAUUGCGAAUUGCAAAUGGGGUGAAUCCCUGCUGGUCGUUG
rnacentral:rRNA from 1 species